rnacentral:lncRNA from 1 species
GCCUUUGUUCUCUUUGACAAGAUGGUGUGUCGAGAUUUAGGUACACCAUUAGAAGUGUUGAAUAAAUAGGCUAGAUAAUUAUUAUUAUCUGUUUAUCCAAUUGACAUUGGCAAUCUUAUCUUCUACUACUAAUACUCUUUCUUUAGUUUGGCUUACUAAGCUUUCUAUUGCAAUUGAGAAAUUCAACAGGUUUAUGAAUAGGUUCCUUGAAUCUCCCAUCGAAACUACAGUAAGAUGGACCCCACAUUGUUAUUUGUAGCUUACCCGGUUCUCCAUGUCUAAAAUUUUAGUGUUAAUGGAUUUUGAACAUUUAAUAUUUACUCAAAGAUGCGAUUGGACUUUAAAUCCCAAGAUUUGAAGACAUUUUAAUGAUAAAUUGUUGAUGAUGUCAAUUUAGUUUUAUUACAUUUAAGAUUCAUAUUCUAGGUUAUGCAGAACAAUCCUCCAAAAGGCCAAUGCAUGAUACUUCUAUAGUCUGAAUUUUCACAUUGGAUCUGAAAACAACAAAAUAAGGUGCAAAAAACCUGUGUCAUGGGAACUUGACAUUCCAAAGGCAAAGAACAAGUCUUGGGCUCAAGGAAACCAGUGAAAAAUUUGAAAGAAAAGAAAGAAAGAGGAAGAAGAAUGAAAAUUCUGAAAUUUUUUAUAAAUCGUUGCCAUACUAAAUGCAAUUACAACAAACUAUCUCCUUUUUACAAUUCUAGACACCCCUAAUACUCUCAGAAUAACAUUCCUAGAAGAAAGACUCUUUCCUUUACUUCCCUAGCAAAAAGCCAAAAAAAAAACUUUCCUAAAGUAGUAAGAUUCAUCACACUAAUAGGACCCCAC